rnacentral:lncRNA from 1 species
ACCUCUCUGAGGCAAGCCAGGACCCAUGGAGUCUGAUCUACAACACAAGCAGUAGCAGUUCCACAUCUCCCUACCACCUCUUAUUUCCUACGAAGUCUUUCUGCCUGAAACUGGAAAACCCGAACUAUUAUUGAGGAAGUGAAGCCCUUCCAUUUGAAUCCUGAGAAAGACGCGCUCAAAGAACCCAGCGAACAAAGGAGAGGGUUGGAGCCCACGCAAAACAUGGGUGUGAUAAAGCCACACGCGACCUGAGCCCCCACCCUCAGUAACUACUCUCCAGCGCCCACCGGGAGGAGGGGUCCGGGGAAAGGAUUGGCAUCCUCUGCUUCUGCAGAAAACAUGGCUACCAACAGCUUCUGUAUCCACCUGCGGAGGAGACUGACUGCUCUGUUAUUCCCCCAGCAUCUGUGAAGAGGCUCUGACUGGCUAAAGUGUUGGUAUAGUGAUCACCCCAGGGUUAGGCAACCAUGGCUGGUGAAAAGGAAAAACGUUAUGAACCUGGCUGUGCGGAGCUACCUGAGGAAGCUUGUAGGAGAAGGGUCAGUUUGCAGAGAAAGGGGGGCCUGGGCAGAUGACGCAAGAGGUGCCCAUUACAUCCCUCUAGAGGAAGGAGUCUGUAGCUUUAGGGGAAGACAGAGCCACAAGAUGGAAGGAGCUUGGAUGUCUGAACUAUUCCAUGGAGAAAAGCUGCAGCCAACGAAGAACACCUGCAAUGGACUCUUAACCUGGGGGUGACGACAACCACUGAAAUAUGCUGCAUCUUAGUCCAGGGAUUUUUAAAGUGUGGUUCCUGGAAGAGCUGGAUCAGAGUCAUCUGUGUUGAUGGUUUAACAUAAAGAUUUUCGAGCCCCAAGACUCAAGUAGGACAAGGAAUUUGAAUUUUUAAGCAGCUCACCUGACUUGUCUGUCCUCUAAUGUCUGAAGACAUCUGACCUCUGCUCUUUCAGUAAAAGCAACAAUGGUUUUAUGAGCAUUGUCGUCACAUCUCUCCACUCAAGGGAUCCUUCUCAUUUCUCCCAGCUGAGGUCACCCACAGCUGCUGCUUCUAACUGCUGGCUUCCAGCCUGCUGUCUGCCAGCUGGCUCUACCCUCUCCUAUAACACGGCAGAGAGUAGCUGUGGUCUCCUGCGUGCUCACCCUCUGCUCCCUUGGUCCUGCUCCAUGCUUUGGUCCUGCACUUAAAUUUUACAAGCAUACUCUCUUUCUCUUAAGAGAAACCUGAUACAAUUUCAAGGUGGAAUACUUGCAGUGAUGGUCAAGAUGAAAGAAUGAUUUUCAAUGCCAUUUAGAGGAAAUCUUGGGAUCAACUUGGGAAAAGACGGAGGCUCCUGGCUCUGAUCUUUGGGGACUUCAGAUUUUCUGGAUCAAGGUGAGUCUUCUUGAGGCUUUACCAAGGAAACAGGCAGUUUUAGAGUUGGCCUUAAGGAUGUUCUCUGGUGUCAUCAAAGAAAUGGAAAUGCAAAGCAGAGACAUGUGCAUUUAGAUAUGUGUAAGACUGUAGACUAUUUUUAGUGGAAAAUGGCUGCUGAGUGUGUGGAAAGAGUAUAAAAGAUUUCAGUGGGAAGAUUCUACAAUCAUUUGAGAUUCUCCAUUGCUGGAAAAUUCUCAAAUUAGGCUUAUGAAGGCAAUUUGAUUUAGCAAACAGCUCUCUGGACCAAGCAAAUCUUCUCAGCAGGGAUGGAAUUUGAACUGCACUUGUCCCUGGUUCUCACCUUCCCUGAGAAGCAGUGCAUCUGCAGUGUCCCAGGUGAUGCCCCCCACAGGCCUUGAAGCUUGUCUUCCAGAAGAGCCUUCAUUUCAGGGGCAGCAUUCCAGGAAGCACGCCCAUGAAACACUCAUGAGGAGGAACUGGGCUGCCAAUUAUGACUUGUCACUGCUCCAUCAACAUAAAAGCUCGGCAGCACUCAGAUGGCUCUUGAAAAUCUUUGAGAUAUAAUCUGAAAGGAGGUCCCAGUUUCUGCCCCGGGCUGUUUGCAUCAUCAACCUGCAAAAUUCCAAUCUUGGAACUUGCUGAGAUUUUCAUUCUGAGACUCUCUGCCCUGGGCCUUGAGGAUAGCCAGAAGAAUACUAUAUUUCUUCUGCCUCUCUUUCUCUUUCUAUCUAAAGAGGUCAGGAUUAUAUAUCCACUUUGCUGAAUAUAGAAUCAAACCCAAUUGCCAUCAGCAAGUGCUGUAUAUCACCUACCACACCUGGGACCAGGCAUCAACAAGACCUUGACAGGGCCAGAAGCCUCAAGCCCUCAUUGCCAAGCCCAUUAAAAUCAGGAACUCAAUCUCAUUAAGGAAGGAGUGCAAUGGAUAUAGCCAGACAGGAGGAUUUCCACUUCAGUAUUAUCCUGAAUAGUGAACAACCAUCUCUGCUUUUCUCAGGGAGAAAGAUGUGGUAACAGUCACAAUGAUAGUAGACGAUGGUGACUGUUUAAUUUGUCAUGGCUAACAUAUAUGGUUAGCAAAUUGAGUUUCCUUUUAGGUAUAGUCUGAAUUGAACUGAAGUUCAUUAUAAUUCCCCUAAGUUGAUCUGUGAGGGCAUUUUAGCCUUCUUGGUAAAAUUAAAUAAUAUCAGUCAAAAAGGCUGUUAAACCAAUUCUUACACUUGAAAGCUUCCAGUUAUUCUAAUAAUUUGGAAUCUGUGUCUCCCCCUCUGUGGCAAUGAGGCUGUUGCUUGCUUUUCCCAAGAGACUGUAUUGCAUCUUUCUUGUUUUCUGAGAUGAGAAACAACCUCAAGGUCAUGCCCAGUGAUAUGGUUUGGCUCUGUGCCCCCACCCAAAUCUCAUCCCGAAUUGUAAUCCCCACAUGUCGGAGGAGGGGCUUGGUGGGAGGUGACUGGAUUAUGGGGGUGUAUUUACCCCUUGUUUUCAUGAUAGUGAGUUCUCAUGAGAUUUGAUGGUUUAAAACUGUGUGGCACCGCCCCCUGCAAGCUCCCUCUCUCUCCUGCCACCAAGUAAGACGUGCCUUGCUUCUUCUUUGCCUUCUGCCAUGAUUGUAAGUUUUCUGAGGCUUCCCCAGCCAUGCAGAACUGUGU